rnacentral:lncRNA from 1 species
CUGAAGUGAUCUGCCCACCUCGGCUUCCCAAAGUGCUGGGACUGCAGGUGUGAGCCACUGCGCCUGGCCCCUUCAGGUGGGUUUUGAGGCUUCACGUUGCUGCUGCAAUAAAUUACCACACACUUAGUGGCUUAAAACAGCACAGAGGUAUUCCCUUACAUUUCUGAAGGCCAGAAUUCUAAAAUCAGUCCCACUGAGUCAAGGUGGGAGCAGGGUCAGUGCCUUCCCAGGCUCUGCGGGAGAAUCUGUUUCCUGGCCCUGGAGGCGGCCUGUACUCCUUAGCUUGUGCUGCCCUUCUGGAAUGACUCGAGUUUCCUGCUUUCAUCACUACACCUCCCACCGCUCUCCAUCACCUGCUGUGCUCUUACGAGGAUCCAGCUGAGACAUGUUUUAGGAAGUUUGCUAAAAGACCCCUGGAGACGUCCUCAUUGUGGCCUCCCUGCUGUUGUGUUUAAUUUGGUUGAUCUUCUCUGCCCUCCUGCUUUUCAGAAUUAAAAGGCUAAAAAGAGUUUUCAGAGAAAUGGAAUAAUUGUAUUGCUGAUCUACGUAAACAAGUUGAAGAAUUGUCUGAAAGAAAAUAUGGUGUGUCUGAACUGGAAAAGUCCUGUGAUAGUUUGUUCAUGAGCAUUUACACAAUGGAGUUACUGUUCAUCAUGGGGGUACUGUGGACAAGCCCAGGGCUGCUGACAUAAUCUUAUGAAUUCAACACAUGAAGAUUUACAACUUGAUAAACCAGCUUCAGGAGAUCAGAACUUCUUACAAUACAACUGAUGUUACUCAGCCUAGAACAAAUACAACAGGGAUUGUGCUGCAUUCUGACUUAGGUUCUGCCAUCGAACACAGAAUGCCCUGAUCCUUAGAGGCAGAGGCAGCUCUUCAGCCUAUGGGAAAACUGUGGAUUUAGUUACUCCACUCUGCCAUGUCCUUCCACCACUGCCUGCACAUUUGAGACCAAGGAUAGAGAUUGGGAAAAAUCCAUAGUUCUCCUGACUCAGAGUUUGGCUCCGGCACUCUCAUUUCAGCCAUAGCUGCAGACAAAGCACACGACUGCUGGGCACUGUGGCUCAAGAGAAGGGGGAGAUGCAGGAAGAAGAUGAGCCUUAAGUCUGAACACUGAGGAAUUCAUGUGCAUCAGUCAGACCUCCUGUGCAAGGAAGGAUGUGGUUACUACGGCAACCCUGCCUGGCAGGGUUUCUGCUCCAAGUGCUGGAGGGAAGAGUACCACAAAGCCAGGCAGAAGGAGAUUCAGGAGGACUGGGAGCUGGCGGAGCGACUCCAGUGGGAGGAAGAGGCCUUUGCCAGCAGUCAGAGCAGCCAAGGGGCCCAAUCCCUCACAUUCUCCAAGUUUGAAGGAAAGAAAACCAACGAGAAGACCCACGAGGUUACCACAGUGAAGAAAUCUUCAGUGCGUCUUCCAGGGUCGGAUCAAAGAAGGCAGAAAUUCAGGAAGCAAAAGCCAGUCCUUCCAUAAACCGGCGAACCAGCAUUGAAACGGAUAGAGUGUCUAAGGAGUUCAUAGAAUUUCUCAAGACCUUCCACAAGACAGGCCAAGAAAUCUAUAAACAGACCAAGCUGUUUUUGGAAGGGAUGCAUUACAAAAGGUGCCUCCAGAAAGGGUUGAGAAGAUAAUGGAUCAGAUUGAAAAGUACAUCAUGACUCAUCUCUGUAAAUAUGCGUUCUGUCCAGAACCCCAGUGAGCCUGGAAGACUGGGUGCUAUGGGAAAUGUCAUCAAUCCAAUGCUAGUGAAAGAUGUGACUGGGGAAUGCUGAAAAAUGCGCACCCCUGGGAGGAAUGAGGAAAGAUGACAUCCACUGACUUGUUAUUUUUUUGAGAAGGAGUCUUGCUCUGUUGCCCAGGCUGGAGUGUGGUGGCACGAUCUCGGCUCACUGAUGAUGAGAAGAAAGAUCUUGCCAUUCAAAAGAGGAUCAGAGUGGAAGCUUCUCUGUGGUGUCAGAAAGACGAGGAAUGUGGUGACCUCACCUAUCCAUCUCCCUCAAGGCAGCUUUUGUUUUUCUGCAGUGACCGUACUUGCAAUAAUUAAACAUAGUUGGUCAUUUAAAAUACAUCUCUGAUACUCUCGUCAAAGGUGGAGCCCAGUCCCUAUCGCCUUGAGUGAGGGCUGGGUUACGUGAUUCCCUUCUGACAGAUAGGAAAAAGCAAAAGUGAUGGCUUGCAACUUUGCAAACUACAUCAUAAAAGACCUGAACUGGUUAUUUCCUACUUGCCUCCUGGAGUUGCUAAUAAAAUAAACACUAAAGCUUCGCAGUUUCUAAAAAGACCAUGAAGCCCUGAGAGUAAUGAAAAGGUUCCUGAAAUUGAGGUCACUGUGGAAGGAGAAUCUAAUGCCUGAUGAUCUGUCACUAUCUCCCAUCACCCCCAGAUGGGACCAUCUAGUUGCAGGAAAAGAAGGUCAAGACUCCCAGUCAUUCUACAUUAUGCCUCAGCCAAGAUGUCUCACCCCACUCUCUCUGAUGCAACAAGAAGCCCCUGGAGAACGUUUCAGUCCCAUUUUGUACUUCUGUCAUGUGCUCAUCACAGUCUGGUGGAAUUUAAAUGACCUCUUAUCAAGAUGGAUAAACCCAAGUUUCCCAGUGCUGGAAUAUAGAAAAUGGAUGGACAAGUAAGUCCCACUCAGCACCCAUAGCCCAGACAUGGGGACCUCAACACACCUGGGCCCCAGACAUCACCUUUCAUUCCGAGGCAUAUGCCAUUCAAGCUAAGGGUGCUACACUUGACCACUGCGGCAGUAUAGAUGAGUCUGAAGAAUGGUAUGGGAUGGAUACUUACGAAUGCACUCGAGCAGGGGUCUCCAUCCACAGGGCCACAGAGCCAGAGGUGAGCAGCAGCUGGAUCUACCAUGAAAGACUUCAGAGUCCAGGAAGAGAGACUGAUUGGGCAACAUGUUAUUCAGUUACAAAAAGACUUGGACUAUGACUCAAAAAUGAUCAAAUAAUAGUGCAUGCAUCCAAUGCAAUAAGAAGCACUUCUGGAGGGUGAGAGAAGCAUCCAGUUAAGGUGACAUUGAAGCUGGGUCCUGAAAGAUGAGGAAGAAUUGUAUGAGAGUGGGCAGAGAAGGGGGAGGUGGAGGGAUGGGGAAUGGGCUGAGAUGGAGUGAGCUGCUCAAGCAGGGAAACCAGCACUGUAAAGACCUGGUCAAUAAAGAUGGCACAUUUUAUUCAGGGAAUGGUGAAUUAAUUGUGGCAGGAAUGCUUUGGAGAGAGAGUAAUUUGCUUGUAUGGAAUUUUGCCCAAGAGACCUCAUUACAGUUUCUAAUCUUUUGAUGUUAUCGUCUAUCACUGUCCUUGUCAGAUAGUUUGGAAUAGGUAUAAUGAUCACAAUAACAUCAAGCAUAAUAUUUCAUUAAUUCUCACAAAAUCACAGGUAGGUGCCACAGUUAUCCCCAUUUUGUGAAUGAAGUGAUGAAGACUUAGGAAUGAUGAGUGAUUGCCCAAGCUCACCUGGAUAUUAAGAGGUCUUGCUCUGUUGUCCAGGCUGGAAUGUGGUAGUGCUAU